rfam:Oryza glumipatula chromosome 5, whole genome shotgun sequence.
AGCUCAGUGAUUGCAGCCACUUUCAUUGGCAAUAUACGCUAUGCUGACUGUUUGAUGACAAAUAAGAAUAUGAGAGCU